ACGAAAACAGCCUGUCUAGUUAGCCAAGGUGACUGCCUGGGACCCAAUCAGGGUUUUUGAUGUAUUAAAACCUCGUGAACAUUAGGUGCAGGCAAGUCAUCCUUGGCUACCAAACAAGACUCUUUAUCU
rfam:Gossypium raimondii Chr01_contig_1334, whole genome shotgun sequence.